rnacentral:rRNA from 1 species
GUGUCAGCAGCCGCGGUAAGACAGAGGGUGCAAACGUUGUUCGGAAUUACUGGGCGUAAAGCGCGUGUAGGCGGCUGCGUAAGUCGGGCGUGAAAUCCCAUGGCUCAACCAUGGAAGUGCACCCGAAACUGCGUAGCUAGAGUCCUGGAGAGGAAGGUGGAAUACUUGGUGUAGAGGUGAAAUUCGUAGAUAUCAAGUGGAACACCGGUGGCGAAGGCGGCCUUCUGGACAGUGACUGACGCUGAGACGCGAAAGCGUGGGGAGCAAACAGGAUUAGAUACCCGUGUAGUCC